rnacentral:lncRNA from 1 species
CCUGGGAACCUCCAUAUGCCGAGGGAGCGGCCCAAAGAAAUAGCAAAAAGACAAAACAAACAAACAAACAAAAAAAACCAAAAACAAACAAAAAAAAACUAACUUUUCAGGUAGCUGAUUAUAGUCAGUAAAUCUGAAAAGAGGACUCCAUACAUUUUAAGAAAACUUUUGAAAAUUAUUUCUUUUCAGCAGCUCCAAGGGUGGUAUCCUCAUGCAGUUUUUUGCUGCUCUUGUAUAUUAACAUGACAGACUGUUUUCUUUUGAUAGAAAACAGAACCCAGUAGAACUGAGCAAAAAAGAAAAUGUGCUGAAAUUUUUAAGGCAAAUUAGUCUUAAAAUAUUUGGGGGUUUUGUCAUAGUACUUAAUCUUUAUGGCUUUCUGUGUUUAUACACAUGGAUUAAAUUUUUCACAACUCUUUAUUUUUUCCAUAUUAUUAAAAAUUGAAAGUAUGUUUCAGAUAAGAAAUAAACUUUGGAUAAAAAAUCUUACGAUAAAAAAGACAUUAUCUUGUUACCUUUUUGCGAAAUCAAAACUUCCAACCUCAUCUACUCUACUCCCGCCACCAAGAAACAAAGAUGAAAGCCUAUCAUCUGAAAAUUUAUCUGAGAACUGUACAUUACCUUUCCAACUCAGCUGAAGGCUGAGGAGUUUGAAAGGGAAGCAAGAAAAAGUUCAAAUGCCUCAAUAAAAAUCUGACUUGGCUCCAAAUCUACUUGCUUAACCACCAAUGCCCAAGUGUCUCUAGGGAAGCAAGGGCCAUCUGUGGGAAAUGAAAGGAGCAUAAUUUAUAAACUUGAAAGAUGUAUUUCCCCACCAUCUCUCCUCUUUCCAAAAAGGAGAAACAUAAAGCAACACAAGUUUAAUCCUGACAAAUGAGCAGUCACUUUAGAAUUAGGCAAAAAGAAAUGAAAAGUAAAAUCAAGUUGGCCAUUUCUUUUCCCUAAACAUUCCAUAUUAAAAAUUCAUGGAGAAACACUGGAGCACUUGACGGAUAUGCAAUCUUCAGAUGAAGCGUAGUUGACGUUCUGGCCUUAUUCAUUCUGAGAAGCAGUUGCGUGUGAUAAAGUUUAAUGCACGUGCUCUUUCUGUUCAUUAUGUUUUCUCAUUAAAGACAUACCGAUAAAUAUUUAUCAAAUUAAUUUAUCUCUAUUUGGAGGCAUUUUAUAGUGUCACCUGAAUAAACAGAGUCAGCAGAUCUGGGCGUGGAUCUCAGUUCCACUUACCACUUGUGUGACCCUGGGCAAGCUCCAAACUUCAACAGACUAAGCUUUGAAACAGAGAUGAUGAGCACAGCAGCUCCCUCAUUAAGAUAAACCUCAAGGCUCUGAAUUGUCAAACUUAAUAGAUAGUUCAUUCAGAAAAAAUUGAAGGGUUUACUAUAUACCAGUCACGUGUUUACCACAGGGAUGAAGCAGUGAGUCCCUGACCUCACGGUGUGCAUGAAGAGACAUAAAAAUCAAGUAAGAGGAGUGCCUGUCGUGGCUCAGUGGUUAAUGAACCUGACUAGUAUCCAUAAGGAUGUGGGCUUGAUCCCUGGCCUCGCUCAGUGGGAUAAGGAUCCAGUGUUGCUGUGGCUGUGGCGUAGGCCAGCAGCUACAGCUCUGAUUC